UGGGGAAUAUUGGACAAUGGGCGAAAGCCUGAUCCAGCCAUGCCGCGUGGGUGAAGAAGGCCCUAGGGUUGUAAAGCCCUUUCGGCGGGGACGAUGAUGACGGUACCCGCAGAAGAAGCCCCGGCUAACUUCGUGCCAGCAGCCGCGGGAAUACGGAGGGGGCUAGCGUUGCUCGGAAUUACUGGGCGUAAAGGGCGCGGAGGCUGUCGGGUCAGUCGGGGGUGAAACCCCCGGGCCCAACCCGGGGAG
rnacentral:rRNA from 1 species